AAUGGCGGAGUGUCUUGUAAAAUUUUUACCGGAGGAUGUUCCAGGGGCAAUUUUACCUUGCCCUGUGUUAGAAGAUAACACCUUUGAAGACCUCAAACGAUACGUGGAGAACAGAGGCUUUACAGUGGGAAAGCAAGAGUCAAAAGUGAAGCUUCUUAAAAGAAUUUCAGAUCUCAAGUCGAGUGGGCUGGACAAAUUUAUCGUCGAUCCAGAUGGGGAUGUACAGUAUGCAAUCAUCGAAGAGAGCACGUGAGACAAAAAAUUCCAGAUCCCCCUUGUUGAAAAAUUGGACGAAGGACAUGGCAGUACCCACAGAUUUUUCCUUAGUCAUUUAUAUGAAUAUCUUGUCAGGAGAACUAUUACAAUUUUGAAGGUAAACACCAAAUCAAAAAACACACAUUUGGAAGGGAAGUCAAAAGACAGAGACCUCUACAAGAAUAUGCAAGUCACAAUAUAUACUGUACAAGAUCCUACAGUGGAUUUCAAAUACUUAAAGGAAAAUAUCAAUGAUGUACCACAUAAAAUGGCUAUUGAACAGCUAUUCAUGACAUCCCCAAGCAGCCCAAGCCAAUCACAAGAAAGUGCCAUGGAUGGUGAAAAUCUAAAACCAGAGGAAAUCAUUAUGAAGGAAUUAAAAGUAAAGCAGAACAUUCAUAGUAUCACUCUUCUUUUUAUUUUUGGUAUAGAUAUUCUUUUAAUAACUAAAUGAUCAUAAAAGAACUUAAUCUAUGUUUCAUUGAUUUGAAGUUUAUGUAGAGUUUAUAAAAUUACAUAAUUGUCGUGGAUGAUAAUAUAGAUUAUUUUAUUAUGAUCAUAAUUUAUUUACAGCACCAUAGUAUUAAUUUUCAUAAUAUUGUAUACGUAUGCUUGUUCUUCAGAACAUAUUUGGAGGCUAUAUUUUGUUUUCUUUCCUAGGUAACAGUAGAAGACAGAAUAAGAAUAGAGAAAGAUACUAGAGGUCAAAGUGAGAGUCUUAGAUGGUAUAGAGAAAGGAAAGGCAGAAUUACAGCAAGCAUUGCAAAAAGUUGUUGUUCUAAAGGGAACCCUGCUGCCACUGUAAAAAAUAUCUUAACAGUUGGUAAACCAGGUAGAGGGCCUAAUUCACCACAUAUUAAGUAAUGGUAUUGAAAAUGAAGAAAAUGCAAUUCAGAAAUUCAAUUUACAAAUAAAUGCUGAUGGUUGCCACUGCAGUAUUCGUAAAUGUGGACUGUUUAUUGAAGAAGAAACAGGUGUACUAGCUGCUACACCAGAUAGGCUAGCAACCAUAGAUGGAGAAGAAGUGGUUGUAGAGGUGAAAUGUCUAUCUGCAAGCAGAGAUCUACCACCACUUGCUGCGGUUACUGCAAGAGAGAAAGAUAGCAUCUUUGGAUUUAAAUUAGAUAAAGGUCAAAUUGUUCUGAAGAAAAAGCAUAAAUUUUUCUAUCAAGUGCAAAUGCAGAUGGCAUUAACUAAUAGACUUAACACUUAUGUAGUAAUAUUUACAAAUGAUAAAUUCAAUGUUGACAUUAUAAAGGUAAAAUUUGAUAAGCAGUUUUGGAAGGAAAUGAAAGAGCAGCUGCUAAGUUUCCAUGCUAGACAUGUUGUACCUGCUCUUGUACGCCAGAGAUUCAGAUAGAUAUUUGUAAAUAUAAUUUUGUGAUCAUUAUAUUUAAAUAAAUAUAAUUAUCUUUCAG
rnacentral:misc_RNA from 1 species